rnacentral:misc_RNA from 1 species
GAACUCCUCAACCCUAGUCAGAUUUUGAAUCUGACCAGUGGCUUGGAUUUGGGGGCUUGCUGGCCGUUUUGAUUCGGUCUGGCUCCCCUUGAAUGUAUUAGCUUGGACUUGUUACUAAGGCUACAUAGCGUGAUAACUAUCUACGCUUUGCUGUCUUUGAAACAUUGUAGAGUCUAGCUUCUAAUCGUCCUUCGGACAACACUUCAAU